GAACAUUCUAUUGGGAUGUAUCCCGACCUACAGCCACAGAACUUCAGAGGCUCAACGUGGGGUUUUCCUUGGUAACUUAGAAGGCUUGGGAUAAAAGUGAGGAUGUUUUUCCAGAGUGCCUCCCUGUUGUGUCAUCGUGCAGACUAGAAGAAAACCCUGGUGCAGAUUGUGGAGUCUCCAGACUGCAGACUUAGUUUCCUGUCAUACAUUAUGCAUGGAGGGCUACUGAGAAGAUUAACUAAGAUACUGUGACCAAAACAUCUGCUAUUCAUAUAAAAACAGCUACAGCGAGCAAGAGUGCGAUGCCUGCACCAGAGUACGGGGAGCCGGAUGCUCAAAAUUCAGUGUUUCCAGAGGUUUAACGAAUGAGAGAAGAACCACUCUGAACAUGGGUGUCACCAUCCUAUCGGCUGCGGUCCUGGACUGAAUAAAGCCAAAAAAGGGGAAAGCCUAGGACCAAUGUUCACAUCUCUGCUUCCUGCCUAAAAAUGCUGCUGAUGUGACCAGCUACCUCAUCUCCUGCUAUCAUGCCUUCCCACCUUAGACUGUGACCACCCUAGACCACCAGCCAAGAUAAACGUCCCCUCCCUUAAGUUGCUUCUUGUCAGGCAUUUAGUCAACAGCAGUGAGAAAGCAACUGAUGCAAUGGUGCGACACACCAGCCUGAAUAACCUUGGACUCCUGAUAGAUCUUGAUUCAUCUGUAAUCCCUGAGGCAUUUUGCAGCUAUGCGAGCCAUGCAUGCAGCUUCACCUCUGCAUUGCGGAGCAUAAGGUCUCUCCAUCCUGUAUAGACAACCUUUAUGUACAAGUGUCUGUCCACUUCCUAGUCAACACAGAAUGUUAGGUCUCAGGUAGUACAUAUAUGCAACAUGAGCUCUCAGCUGAGCUAGAGAAAGAUUUCUGCCAGUCAGAUAAGAACAAAUGUUCUCAAGGAACUCGUGAAAUGGGCUUUCUGUCCACCAAAAGGAGUCAAUUUCCUUGCCCCNCCCCCCGCCACUAUCCUCCUUUUAAAUGAUUUUUAAUGAUUUUACACUCUGCCCUUGCUAGGCCACUUCUCUCACAGAUAGGCCUACCCAUGUCUAGUCUGUUUCUUUUUCUCUCUGCUCUGGACUCUUCCGGAUACCUCUUACCCACAAUUCUCUCUCUUACCUUCACCCUUAAUGGAGCAGCCACUCAGACAGGCAGGUGUUUUACUAUCUCCCCUAGCAUACAAAGACUCAGUAAAAGCUCUUUCCUUCAGUCUGAACUGUUGGCUUCCAGGGAGAGCCUGUGUCUCUGCUAAGCUGGUGACAGAUGACACUCUCUUUUAUGUUAAGAAAUCAUGGAAAUAACAUAGUUUAACAUACUCAUAAUAUACUCAUGUUUCUAAGUUAUUUACUAAUAAAUGUGUUCUAUACUUGUGUGUGUGUGUG
ensembl:processed_transcript 4921529L05Rik RIKEN cDNA 4921529L05 gene